AAGAAAUCAUCACUUACUGAAGUGAGGAGCAAGCGCUGCCCACAGACCAGGACACCAGAGGAGAGGACAGAUCCCACAGCACAGGAACUGAGGAAGCUUCAGUGCUCCUGUGGCUUGCUCUGUAUUUCAGAUGGACUGAAAGAAAACUCAUUGAUGCACACUAUAAAAGAAGUGCUGUAUUCUGGAAAUAACAUGGAAAGACAAUCAUCUUGCUAAGAUCCAGGACUUGCUCCCCAUGGUGUUGAUACCCAACAAUGAAAGAAAUGGUCUGGAAAAUUUUUGAUACCUACAAUAUGGUCUUAUCUCCAAGAUAUCCUCCAAGACCCCUCUUCACAAAACCUCUUCUUCCUGUGACCCUCACUGCACUGUGGAGACCCCAGUCCUGCAGCCUCCUUCACAUCUCAGUUAACAGCACUCCUCCCUGCAGUGCCUAUGGCAAUGCAACCUUAAAUCCUCUUUUUUCCCCAUUCUGCUUUCCUCUUUGUUGGAGCAAGUGAUUUCCCAAACUGUCUUAUAUUUCUUCAGACCACAGCAUCUCCUUUCUUUCACACACUUUUUGUCCCAGCCUGCCUCACUGCCUCCUCAGACACUGCAGGUAGAUCUGUUAAAUCUGGGAGGCAAGCUGGCACAAGCCAGAUGAAAGAAAGCUAGCUGGCAGAACUUAACCAAUCUGUGUUCUUAGAGAAGGCUGUACUAAUCUGGUUUAUUAAACCCACAUAGACAACCCUUCAUUCUGGCUGUGAAACCUGUGGGGUAACCUGCUUCACACCAAUGCAGGGGAGCACUCAGCACCCGUGCUCAGACAUUUAAGAGCAGUAGCUGCUAGGGGAAGGUGGACCAGAGGAAGAAAUAGAAGGGGAUGUUGCCUGGGAUGUGGCUGGAGAUAACACUCUUGGGAGGAGGUGCUCCAACAAUGAAGGAGUUAUGGCUUUGAAGGAUUUCAGCUAUGGACAACCUAUGUCAGAGCAGGAACAUCCCAGAGGGACUCAUGCUGGGGCAGAGGACAGCAAGUGGAGUUGAGAAGAAAGAGUAAACAAGAAGUGUCAGAAAGUAACCAUUAUUAACCAAUGAUAAUUUCAUCCAGUGCCUUGCUGUAGAGUCUGGGACAGUAUCAGGUGGUGAAAAUGAGGAAACCAGGAAAAGUAGAGAAAUUAUAUUUAACUGAAGGUGAACCUAGGAAAGGGGAAGAAAAAUCAACUGUUACAUCGAUUGUUAGAAGCUUAUGUUAACAUGAAAUAAAACCCAUAAAUUUAAUUGAAUCAUUGGAUGGUUUGGGUUGGAAGAGACCUUAAAGAGUGUGUAGUUCCAGCCCUGUUGCCAUGGGCAGGAACAUCUUUCACUAGAUCAAGUUGCUCAA